GGGCUAUGGUGACCGAAAACAUUUCUCGAUUCUGAUAAGGACCAAAGCAAGUCGUUAGCUAUGCGAUGAUAGUGUUUGUGCGUGUCUGAGCCUA
rfam:Glycine max cultivar Williams 82 chromosome 1, whole genome shotgun sequence.